CACAUGUUCAUCUCACCUACAGUAAACUGGUUAAAUGACUCUAGAGGGAGUUCACUGAGAUGUUUCUGAGCUGAUGGAAAGUUCUUUACAAAACAACCUGAGUGUUUUCUUUGUCCAAUCACAGGACUCCAUGCUGAAGGACAACACACCUCAACAAGUAAAGAGAGAAAGAAAAGAGAAAGAAUCACAGAAGCAGAAUCAGCAGUCAAGUUUAAGUUUAGUCUCUUGAAUUCACUUUUUUACUGAUGACUCUCUUGUUUCUGUUCAGUGCCUGAUGAUGUCAGGUUGGUGGGAGGAGCCAGUCGCUGUGCAGGAACACUGGAGGUGAAACAUCAGGGAGACUGGAGACCAGUGAGUUACUUUCACUGGACCCUGAAGGCAGCAGCUGUUGUCUGUAGAGAGCUGGACUGUGGCUCUGCUGUUUCUGUAGGACAGAGAAAGGAGUCCUCAGACAGACCUGUGUGGUGGAUCAGGUCUGACUGUGUUCAGUCUGGAUCUGCUCUGAGGGAGUGUGUAACAUCAAAUAACUCUUCCUCCAUCCUGUAUCUCACCUGCUCAGAUCCAACAGUUCUUCUCAUCAUAUUGGUCGUCCUGCCGCUGACUCUGCUGUUGGUGACUGCUGCCCUUUGUUUCUACUAUAAGGCUAGAAGGAGAAAGGAGAACAUUGUGCUGGAUCGGAAUACGCAGGGUGUUUGUGCAGCUGAAGGAGGGCCGACUGAAGAGGAAGGAGCUCAGGGAGCAGAGUAGGACCUCCAAGAAUCAUCUCAGCUGCCACACAACCCACCAUCAGCUCAGUCCAGGAUUUUACACUUUUAUACUGAUGUUCCCUUUAAAUCAAUCAAUAAGAUCAAUUAUGUGACAUUUUUCCAUCCCAAGGUCCCAAGACUGUGGGACCCAUCCAUCGUCAACUGCUUAUCCUGCGUAUAGGGUCUUGGGGGGCUGGAGCCAAUCCCAGCUGACAUUGGGUGAAAG